rnacentral:tRNA from 1 species
AGGGGUGUAGCUUAGUGAGAACUUGCCUCACAUGCAUAAGGGUCCUGGGUUCAAUUCCCAGCACCACAA